rnacentral:tRNA from 1 species
GGCCAGGUAGCUCAGUUGGUAGAGCAUACGGCUGAAAACCGUAGUGUCGGCGGUUCGAUUCCGCCCCUGGCCACCA